AGUGAACGCUGGCGGUAGGCCUAACACAUGCAAGUCGAACGGCAGCACAGUAAGAGCUUGCUCUUACGGGUGGCGAGUGGCGGACGGGUGAGGAAUACAUCGGAAUCUACUUUUUCGUGGGGGAUAACGUAGGGAAACUUACGCUAAUACCGCAUACGACCUACGGGUGAAAGCAGGGGAUCUUCGGACCUUGCGCGAUUGAAUGAGCCGAUGUCGGAUUAGCUAGUUGGCGGGGUAAAGGCCCACCAAGGCGACGAUCCGUAGCUGGUCUGAGAGGAUGAUCAGCCACACUGGAACUGAGACACGGUCCAGACUCCUACGGGAGGCAGCAGUGGGGAAUAUUGGACAAUGGGCGCAAGCCUGAUCCAGCCAUACCGCGUGGAUGAAGAAGGCCUUCGGGCUGUAAAGCCCUUUUGUUGGGAAAGAAAAGCAGCAGGUUAAUACCCCGCUGUUCUGACGGUACCCAAAGAAUAAGCACCGGCUAACUUCGUG
rnacentral:rRNA from 1 species